CUUGCGGUGUCCCUGCCCUGGGCUGUUUCCCUUCGGCUUCAUCUCAGCGAAUCACGAACACAUUCCACGGACUCACCUCCUUGGAAGCCUUUUGGAUUCUCUGCGCAGCCCAAGCUGCCCGGGAUCUGGGAGGCCAGGCUGAGUCUAUGGCCCCGGAGCCCGCCCGGACUUGCCACUGGAGACCUGGGGCCAAGGGCCCAUCCGAGCUGGGAAGAGAGGGCUAGAAAGAGAGCAUUAGAAUCGAGGGGCUGGGUGCGGAGGCUCACGCCUGUCAUCCCAGCACUUUGGGAGGCCGAGGGAGAUGGAUCACCUGAGGUUAGGAAUU
rnacentral:lncRNA from 1 species